UUAAUGUCGAGAAAAUAAUUUUCUAUCUAAACAAAAAAUAAAAAAAUUUAAAAAUGGGAGCAGAAACCAGAUGAGUCUUGGCGAGACUUUGUACCCAAGACUUUGCAUGAAGCCCUCAUUGCUCACAUGCCUCUCCCUCCUGCUUUUCAUUCCCCACAUUCCAUUCCCUUGGACCCCUCUUUAAAAACCCCUCAGUAAAUCUGAGUCUUUGAGAUGGCUUUAGUCUGCCCAUUCUCCUUCAGGUUUACUGGAGAGGUGGGUCAGCCAAACAUCUCUCCUCAAGUUACCAGUAUUCCUGAAUAAAGCUGACUUCCAUUGUCACCACAUUUGGCUUUUGAGUGGUUUGUUUUUGAAAGGGGGCAGGAAGCUGGACCUGUAUGCCCUGUAUCAAAUUUGGGGGCACCUCAGCCAGGAGCUGAGUGUGCCUGGCUCUUCAAAUAGUCAACAUGUAACUACAGGCAAGGUUUAAUUAUCAUCUCUUAAAAUGAGAAUAAUAUAACCCACCCCCUCUUUGCUUCCCAUGGCUAUCAUGAGAAUUAAUUAGGUCUUUAAUAUGAGUAUAUAUCUGUAAAAUGUGUUAUAGAUAACUAGAGGUAAACACAAUGAAACAUGAGGUAUUGUUUAAUGUAUUGUGAAUGUUUAUCGCUGUUGUAUUUAGCAAUCUGCUUCCAUCUAAGUACAAGUAUUAUAGCAACAGAGAUAGUAUACAAAAUAAUGAAUACAAGUUGGGUCAGCAUCUCCUCCAAUUGCCAUUUGCAAACAUGUCCUAGAUGGCCAUAUCUAACUGGAAGGCUGAGACAAAAAUAUGUCUUCCAUACUAAAGAAGGGAAGAUUUACAUAGUGCAAUGUCCUGAAUUUUGUAGUUCCUGCACGAAAUCUUCAAAGUCUUCAAAUCUAGGCCAUGCUACAAGGAGAACAGCAGCAACAGAGGACUGGUACAUUUCUGGAACCUCCACAGUGCCUCCUUAGUUUUGUAAUUUUUUGAAGAAGCAUGUAAAAAUUCUUCCACCAAUUCCUUAAUAGUACAGCAAAUAGGAAACAUUCUCUCCCCAUCAUUGACACCCAGAAGAAUGAAAUACCAGCACAUUCCAGGACGUGGCUGGAACCAUUUGAUGAAAGAUUUGUUAAAACCUGUGCACUGUGAUCUAGACCAGAGUUUCUCAACCUCAACUGUGUGGACAUUCGGGUCAGAUAAUUGUUGUGAGGGGCUGUCUUGUACAUUGUAGGAUGUUUAGCAGUGCCCCUGGCCUCAACCAACUAGAUGCCAGUAACAUCCCCACACCCCCCGCCACCAGGUGUGACAGCCAAAAUUAUCUCCAGACAUUGUGAAAUGUCCCCUGGCAGGGAGGGGAGGAAUCACCCUCAGUUGAAAACCACUGAUUUAGACAAUGACCAAAGUGGGAUAACUGAAUCAAAAGAAACUGGAAUCUUAAGUUAAUCAAGCAUCCUUCUCUGAAAUCACUCCAUACUUUUAUAUAUUGCAUUUAUAUAUUGGGUAUCUGUAUUGCAUCAGUUCAGCCAAUGUUUGUUGAGCUCUCAAUGGAGAAGGCACAAGAUCAAGAACUUCUGUGCACCCGUGAAACAGAAAUGGAAAUGGUAUGUACCAGCUCUCCAGAGCAGGCACAUGUCAUUCCAUCCCAAUAUUUACCCCCUGAUCAGGGUUGUCAAAUAUUGCAUGAGACAUACUUAUACUAAAAAAGUUAAUCAUUAUUUGUCUGAAAUUCAAA